AACAAGGUCUCCGUUGGUGAACCAGCGGAGGGAUCAUUACUGAGUUUACGCUCUACAACCCUUUGUGAACAUACCUAUAACUGUUGCUUCGGCGGGUAGGGUCUCCGCGACCCUCCCGGCCUCCCGCCUCCGGGCGGGUCGGCGCCCGCCGGAGGAUAACCAAACUCUGAUUUAACGACGUUUCUUCUGAGUGGUACAAGCAAAUAAUCAAAACUUUUAACAACGGAUCUCUUGGUUCUGGCAUCGAUGAAGAACGCAGCGAAAUGCGAUAAGUAAUGUGAAUUGCAGAAUUCAGUGAAUCAUCGAAUCUUUGAACGCACAUUGCGCCCGCCAGCAUUCUGGCGGGCAUGCCUGUUCGAGCGUCAUUUCAACCCUCAAGCUCUGCUUGGUGUUGGGGCCCUACAGCUGAUGUAGGCCCUCAAAGGUAGUGGCGGACCCUCUCGGAGCCUCCUUUGCGUAGUAACUUUACGUCUCGCACUGGGAUCCGGAGGGACUCUUGCCGUAAAACCCCCAAUUUUCCAAAGGUUGACCUCGGAUCAGGUAGGAAUACCCGCUGAACUUAAGCAUAUC
rnacentral:rRNA from 2 species